rnacentral:ribozyme from 1 species
GCCACAUCCGUAGCAACAAAUGGGAUGGGAUCCGAAGCCUCCUCGAGGGAUAAUACAGGCUCUCCCAUCCAAUUCCUAUUCCGACACGUCCUCGUCGUGCAGAGUGGUAACGUGUGUCACCACAUAUCCAAGCUUNNNNNN